rnacentral:rRNA from 1 species
CAGCCGCCACGGUAAUACGAAGGGGGCUAGCGUUGCUCGGAAUCGCUGGGCGUAAAGGGUGCGUAGGCGGGUCUUUAAGUCAGGGGUGAAAUCCUGGAGCUCAACUCCAGAACUGCCUUUGAUACUGAAGAUCUUGAGUUCGGGAGAGGUGAGUGGAACUGCGAGUGUAGAGGUGAAAUUCGUAGAUAUUCGCAAGAACACCAGUGGCGAAGGCGGCUCACUGGCCCGAUACUGACGCUGAGGCACGAAAGCGUGGGGAGCAAACAGGAUUAGAUACCCCGGUAGUCCCUGUCUCUUAUAC